rnacentral:rRNA from 1 species
CCCUUAGAUGUCCUGGGCCGCACGCGUGCUACACUGACGCAUACAGCGAGUACUCCCGGCUCCGCAAUGGCAGCUGGUAAUCAUCAAUAUGCGUCGUGAUGGGGAUAGAUCUCUGGAAUUUUUGAUCUUGAACGAGGAAUGCCUAGUAAGCGCAGGUCAUCAGCCUGCGUUGAUUAAGUCCCUGCCCUUUGUACACACCGCCCGUCGCUCCUACCGAUUGGGUGUGCUGGUGAAAUGUUCGGAUCGGCCGUUUGUCGCGGUUUCCGCGGCUCGUGGCUGAGAAGUUCAUUAAACCCUCCCACCUAGAGGAAGGAGAAGUCGUAACA